rnacentral:rRNA from 1 species
UACGUAGGGUGCAAGCGUUGUCCGGAAUUAUUGGGCGUAAAGAGCUCGUAGGUGGCCUGUCGCGUCGGCUGUGAAAACUCGGGGCUCAACUCCGAGCUUGCAGUCGAUACGGGCAGGCUAGAGUCCGGUAGGGGAGUGUGGAAUUCCCGGUGUAGCGGUGAAAUGCGCAGAUAUCGGGAGGAACACCGAUGGCGAAGGCAGCACUCUGGGCCGGCACUGACGCUGAGGAGCGAAAGCGUGGGGAGCGAACAGG